rnacentral:lncRNA from 1 species
AUUCUUUCCUUGCAUUCUGUGCAAACUCUUUGCAGAAGAAUGUUUCCUCCAUUAGUCAUCCCACUGCACCACGCUCUUAGAAGCAUCAGGGAGGCAGAUACUAAAAUCAACCAGUUUUCCUCGUCUGGGCAACAUGGACAGUGAUGUGAAAUUGGACAUUUCUGCUUGCUGGAGGUUUUGAGUCCUGAAAGCUGUUAGCAGAGAGGAGCUACAGGUAUCCAGACAAGAAUAUUAAAAACCCGAUAUCUAAGCAAUUUAGAAUGGACAGGACAGCACACAGUCUUACUGUACAGAGAGACACUGAAAUGACAGAUGAAGAUGAAUGAUACACUCAUAAAAAUAGAGAACUUUGAAUUUCCCUUCUUCUGUAGAUUUAAUUUAAGUCAGAUCCUUCAAUAUUGUAUGGAUGUGGUUUAUACUAAAGAUCUUGAGAGCAAUCCCUAAGCAGUGAAUUGAACACUUUAUCAUUCAAAAAUGUAAUACAAAACUGAGUUAAAAAUACAAAAUAUGAAAGAUCUGGGAAAAAAAAUAAUGGUCAUAUGCUCAUAGCUCCUAAUGAUAAAUGAUGUCUCAAAUGUAGAUUGAAAAUCACUUUCCUUUUGCUUAUGAUGAGUCUUUCCAUUUUAAAAUUACUGAAAUAGGAAAAGAGGUCUUGAAAUAUUUCUAAUUACAAGGAAAUUCUGAAUUGGAAAGAUAUACCUCAUUCCUUUACAAGCCUCUUAUUGGUUCUCUAAGAGAUACACCGUGUGCCAAUUUCAAAUCCAGCAGAUGUGGAUGGAUUCCAACUCUCUCCAGAUAGUAGAAGUUUGUAUGCAGCUGGGCUCUGUACAUUAGCAAAAAAUAAAUGGUUAUUUGAAACCUAACUGCAUGGGUCCUUUGUAUUAUUUCUUUGGGUACAGCGUAAGACAUAAGAAAGGUUUACAUUUGAUCUUUCAGCGUGAAAGGCAUUGUAGGACUGGGUGAAGGAGCCUCCCCCAUCAGCACAGGUUGUGGGAAUGACCCUGUUCCAGCCCUUCUCUCAGCUCCCACUGCAAUGGCACUCCUCUAUAAUGGGAACAAAACACACAGGCAAAGUAGGGAAUGCUAAAACUGUAUUUUCCUUCUCAUGGUCCAUUAACAAAACAUACGUCAGAGAGGUUUCAAUUUACACAGGGAGCCAGACAGGCCUAAGAGCACAAAAAUAGAGGAAAAUCAAAGAGGUAGUUUAAAUUCUCUGUCUCUUCCCCCAGUCCCUACACUGGCCGCUGUGACUGAAAUCAAAGCACAUGGUUUAUGCCACUACCAGAUAGGAUUUGGAAGUUAGAAAUUUGGAACAUUUAAGUUAGCAUCCUGGGAGCAGUAGAUUAGCCAAGAGACCUUCAUGCGUUCAUUCUAAAUUAUUUUGUUCUAUAUUUCUAAGAUGAUUACUUGAAAACAAGUCUACCAGUGAAAAGAAUCAAGUAACAACAGCUUUUUUGAGCUCUUGAUUCAUUUUCUGUUUAGGAAACAAACGUCAUACAUUUCAGGAGCAAAAAGGAAGUGAAGUACAAAUGCAAAGAUGCAAAUCAAAAUGGCUUUUGAGCAACCAGGUCAGAAAACUGACCUCCUCUUACAUGUGUUCCCAUAGUAAUGAAGAGAUUAAGAGCAUUUUCCUUCUUAUUGUAGUCAUAAAACUUCAAACUUCACACUAAGGGACCCUGAAUGAUGCCUACCCACUGUAUUUCUUUCCCCAAAUGGAUUUCGGGUCACACUGCAGUUCUGCCUCUUGUCUACAAAUAAUC